UACCAACCCAUUCAAAAGUAACUGCUACUUAAGCAUUAUAUACCUCAUACAAACAUUUAUACUUCCUUAGACAUUAGUUGUGACACCAUCCUUUCUCAAAGCCAAGAAGAUUUCAACAAGUGUCAUUCAUUAAUUAAGAUAAGAAACAAUCUCAAGAAUUACUCCCGUAAACAAGUGCAAAUACUCUUGAGAGAAAACAAAACAGUAGCUGAAAUGAGUUCAACAAUAUAUACACCUACCUCGACCAAGUCAAUCUCUCAAAGCACAACUGAUAUGACUGCCGAGAAGACUUGAACCAACAUGGACAAUUCUCCAAAUGAUACAUAAUUCAGUCAGCUAAUUCAUCAAACAAAUGCAACUCAAUACAUUCUUAACAAUGCGCAAAGUUUGCACAAAUAUAGUGCUACAACAAAUACAUAACAUAAACAUAAAUACAAGUUAAUACUAGCAUAAUUUGCGUUUUUUAGAAAUUAAUUCAUCUCUAAUACUACACAUGAUUUUCUUCAAAGCUAUGAAUCUGAUCCUUCUAAUACCAUACCCUAACAUAUAGGUUUCUUUCGCUUCUACUAACUUUCCUCUUAACACACCUUUGGCCUUUUCAUCAUCUUCUUCGAGUUGGAGAGUAAUUGAUGUGAUACUUUUUCCUAAAUCCAGUAGUAUUGGAAGUAACAUUUCUUCUUGACAUCUAUCCAAUUCAUUUCCCAACUUAUUCAAAACAACUUUCCUUUCUUCAUGAAUUUGUAAAAAUUUACAUAAAAUUCUGUCAUGUUCUUCAAGUAGAUCAUCGUAAGAGCAUCUCUAAUGGGUCUCCCAUAUUUAGCCCACACAUGGGACGAUUUAGCC
rnacentral:lncRNA from 1 species